UACGAAGGGGGCUAGCGUUGCUCGGAAUCACUGGGCGUAAAGGGUGCGUAGGCGGGUCUUUAAGUCAGGGGUGAAAUCCUGGAGCUCAACUCCAGAACUGCCUUUGAUACUGAGGAUCUUGAGUUCGGGAGAGGUGAGUGGAACUGCGAGUGUAGAGGUGAAAUGCGUAGAUACUGGGAGGAACACCAGUGGCGAAGGCGGCUACCUGGACCGGUUCUGACGCUGAGGCGCGAAAAGCGUGGGUAGCAAACAGG
rnacentral:rRNA from 1 species